AAAUAUCAUCACAAAGUCAAUAUUUGUAGGAUUUUUGCAUGGUAAGUAUGAUUUUUAGAUUUGUCAUCAAAUACACAUUCGAUCGUAACUCAAAUCAUGAAGAAUAAACAUUUUCCAUGUGCUUUUCUGUCAUUCUUCGUUUGGUCGUUGAAGGGUUCGGACGUGUUUUUCGAAGCUCUCGACGUCGUGACCUAAUUAUAAUUUGAACUGCGCGGGUAAAGAACGCUCAUUUGCGGCUUGGACAUUGACCAAUACGGACGUGUUUUUAAAGCGCUCUGAAAAAAGUUUUGACUUUUAAAUUUUUUUUACUACGACAGAAUCUUAGUUGACUGAUGGUCUUUGACAAAGACAGACUUGUUUUUGUGAGCUCUGAACAAAAUUUGACUUUGAAAUAUUUUUACGAUUAAAAAGUUUCAGUUGACUUUUGAACGUUGACGAAGACGGACGUACUUUCGUGAGCUCUGACUAUUGAUGAAAAGUUUUCGCGUUAUAGAAUAGCGACUUGGUACUCAGGUUGUUGAAUGACUGGAUGACUGAAGUGUUAGGUUAUUGUUAUGAGAUAACAACUUGACUUUGACUUGAGUUGUGAAAUGAAAUCAUACUCUUAUGCGAUGUUAACUUUUGAACGUUUAGUAUUGACUGACAACGAAAUUUUGUGAGCGUUAUAUAUGAAAUGUUUGACUUACAUUAAUUUUUUUGAACGACUUGACUUCACUUUAAGUUUUGACAUCGGACUGAUCGGACGUGUUUUUUUAAGCUCUGACUGUUGUGAAUAAUUAAAUUUAUGUUGUGGUGUCAAGCGAUUGACUGUCAGUUGAGGUUCAGAUGUCGAGCUGUGCGGACGUGUUCAUCGAGCUGCUGUCUACAAAAAACGUGAGUACAAAUUUUUUUCGUUUUACUGUUUACAAGUUGCGUGAUGAUGUAUGAUGGUUGUAAUGUGUUGGGUAGAAAUUACUCAGUGCUGAUACAGUGUCGAUAUGUUGUGAUGAGCGAUAAUAGUGGAUGAUGGUGGAACAGAAUAUUCAUUGAGCUAUUUUGAGGAAGCGAACAUAUGAUGGAAAAAUGUUGCAAAAAUAUUAAAUGCAUGUGCUUAUAUGUACUAAAUAUGAUAUUGCUUUACUUGUAUUUGCAUGCUGUUAACAUUUCUAUUUUAUUCCAGUGGGCUGUGGUGAGUAUUGCAGAUUUAACUUGUAUGUGUGGUUUUUAGUUAACGAUGCUUAAUGAAAACUGUUAUUGUACACUUAGUAUGGAAUGAUGUGAAUGAUGAUAUGAUGGGUAGAAUUAAUCAGUGCUUGUGUCUAGAAAUGCUGAAUGUUUAUUGAAAAGGCUAAAUGCUAGCCAGUACUAAGAGUUGAGCUACCGUGGGAAUGUGAAACGAACUGAUGGUGUAAUAUGAUGGUGUAUUGACAUACUUUUCUUAUAUGUACUAAAUAUGAUAUUGCUUUACUUGUAUUUGCAUGCUGUUAACAUUUCUAUUUUGUUCCAGUGUGCUGUGGUGAGUACUGUAGAUAUUACUUGAUUUUUAGUGUCUAUGAAUGCUGAUGUAUGAUAGCUAUAGCAUGAGCUCAAUGCUAACCAGUAUUAUGAGUUGAUGUAUUGUGGUGAUGCUAAUCGAACUGAUGAUGUAACAUGAUGGUGAACACUUACUGAAUGCAUAAAAUUUAUUGAAUUGCAUUUGUUGAUAUGCACUAUAAUAUGAUAAAUGUAUUGCUUUACAUGUAUAUUUCAUGAUGUUUAAUUUCAGUGGGCUGUGGUGAGUACUGUAGAUUGUAUUGCCUAUGUAUAGAAUUCAAUAAAAGAUUAUGACUGAAAACUGCUUUUGAUUCUUUUUGAACAGUUUUAGGGACUAUAAGUCUAUAACAAAAAUAUGUCGGUUGGCGUUCAUACAGCAAUGUUUUGAGUAGUACAGAAAUGUUUCUACGUUUGUGGUCGCCAGUUGUCUGUGAUGUGUAAAGUGAAAAAUACACGGAGCUUUGAAUACAACAAACAGUUACUGUUUUAACACAGAUUGUGUGCUAUGCAUUUUUCGAUGUAGAUCUUUUUCAGAUUUGACAUGAAAUGUAGACCUGACAUUUGAACAGAGCUGGGAAACGAAAAGGUAAGUUUGUUAAAUUUCACAAUGAACACUUGUGUUUUGACAAAAGAAGAGAUAAAGUGAGUUUUGUCAUCAUCAUGGUUUCUUUCAGAGUAUAACUCGUGAACAGAUGAAAACCUAUUUUUUGCUAGAUUUUCAUGUACUCUUUUUUUGGAUGAUAAGUAUGUCAGUAACUCAAAAUCAUACGGCUAGUACAGUAUGGAACAUGAAUGCUUUGUUCAGAUUUUCAGAUGUGUGCUGGCAGUUCAAGUCUGGCAGCUGAAGUGAACAGUCGUGUUUUCUGGAGCUCCAACAAUAUGCUAGAAGGUAAGUAACUAUGUUUGUUUUGCAUUGCAUGUUUUUAUAUGUUUCAGACUUUCAAGCAGAGAUGUCAUGCUGACUGGAGUUGAGCACAGGGCAGUGACAAAGUGAAAGGUAAGUACUUUUGACUGAAUGUUUGUUCUAUGCAUGUUUUGUUUUAAUACAUUUCAGGAGUGCUUAUCCAGUGAUGAUAUGACAGUUGGAGUGAACAGUGGAGCCAAGCAGUCUUGUUUUUGGAGCUACUCAACAAGCCUUGAAGGUAAGUUUAGAAUUUCUCAAUGUUAGUGAAUUGAAGUACUGUCACUUGCUUUUGGACAGUCGAACAGAACAGACGUGGUUGCGAGAGCUCUCAUAUCUGUUGUGUUAAACUGUUUUUAUGAUAUGUUAUGUUUGUUUGUUUGUUUGUGAUGUACUAUUUUUCAGAUGCUGAUGGCAGUGAUGGGUUUUCAAGCUGACCUGAACAGAAAAGCACUCAUAUGGUAAGUACAAAAUAGUUGUUAUAUGGGAUGUUUUGUGCAUGCUUUUAUGUUUCAGGUGUACUUGCUGACAGCGACGAAGACGAAUCAAGAAGAGGAACAUUGUUGAGAAAGUGAUUGGGACUUGCAAACAGGGUAAGUGUAACACUUGUGUUUGUUUAAUUUGUAACAUGCGUGCUUUGCUCUGUUUCAGAUUUCACAUGCAGAAAUUAAACAGGAUUUCAACUGCUGAGACACAAUUCAUCAAAAGUAAGGUAAGUUUUAAUUCAUUGAUUUGAGUUGUACAAUGUGUUCUUUACUUUAUUUCAGAUUCGAGUCACUGGUUUACACAUGGAAGAAGAUUUCCACGUCUGUUACUCAACUCUACAGAAGCAAGGUAAGUCGAUCAAAUUUUUGUUUUCAUUGACUGCUGUAAUGUGAUGUUAUGCUAUUUUUCAUGUGUGCUAUGCAGAGAUGGAGAAUUCAAUUUUAAGAAAGAUUAACUGCUGCAGAUUAGCUCUGCUCUGUGUUGAUUUUUGUUCAAAAACGUUUAAAAUGUAUGUGUGUUUUCAGAUGUUUUGUUUCAGUUGAUGUCCAGAUGGCAAGCAGUACAGACGUGUUUCUUGGAGCUGCCAAACAAUUCACAUGCAGAAAAGGUCUCAUAGUAGCCUCAACUGUGAAUAAGGAUAUCAACUGCUGUGACUAAACUGUUGAAGAAGGGUAAGUGGAACAAUGUGUUUGUUUUAUAAGUACCAUGUAUGCUUUAUUUUGCUCUGUUUCAGAGUAGACAUACAAACAGUGUCUUGCUUUGCAUGCUAUUUUUCAGGUCUCUCAUGCAGUGAGGGAAAAGAAAAAGAUUUCAAUAAAGAAUCACUGCUGCAACUCAGCUCUUUAAACAAGACUUACAUUGCUGUGACUGUUCCACAGUGGGUCAAAAAAGAGACGAAUACAGGUUUCAAGAAGAAAAUUGGCUGUUGAAAACCUGCACAAAAUAUGAGGUAAGUAAACUAUUCUUUUGGUUUGUUUUGUGCUUUGUUAUGCUUAACUAUUUUUCAGAUUGGAAUGGUGGGUCGUUACAGAGCAGACUUUUGGACAACUGAGAAGUUGAGAAACAGAGAAUGAUUCAAGAUCAGCUAGGUAAGUCUUGAUUAUUGUGCAUUGCUAAAUGUUUUUUUUCAUUCCAGUAUGGCUGUGGUAAGUACACAAACUUUCUAUAAUUUAAUAUUGAACUGUUUUUAUGACCUGUAUUCUGCAUUGUAAAAUGUCUGUUUUUCAUUUCAGUAUCCUGUGGUAAGUACAAUUGCCUUCUUUAAUUUUCAUAUUGAACUGUUUUGAUGACUUGUAUACUACUAUGCAAUGCUUAAUGUUUUUUUCAUUUCAGUAGCCUGUUGGUAAGUACACUAACUUUCUAUAAUUUCAUAGUGAAUUGUUUUGAUGACCUGUAUUCUGCAUUGUAAAAUGUGUUUCUUUUUCAUUUCAGUAUGGCUGUGGUAAGUACAAUUGCCUUUCAUAUUGAACUGUUUUGAUGACCUGUAUUUUGCAUUGUAAAAUGUGUUUCUUUUUCAUUUCAGUAUGGCUGUGGUAAGUACACAAACUUUCUUUAAUUUUCAUAUUGAACUGUUUUGAUGACUUGUAUUCUGCUAUACAAAAUGUGCUUUUUUCAAUUUCAGGUCAGCAAUGGUAAGUAUAGUUUGUUUUUUAUGUAUAAUUUUGUAUACAUAUUGUUUUUUUCAUCAUAGCAUGUCUUUUAUAUUUAUGCUUUGUGUAAGUAAAAUGUUCAUAAAUCAUUCUUAUCUUCAAACUAAAAAUGUAUUGUGCUAUGCAAAAUGUCUGUAUGAUUUCAGUUGCCAGAGGUGAGUACCAUUACAGUUGAAAAGUUAGUUUUGUUUAGUUAAAGUUUUGGUUCACAGUUCUGUUUGUUAUUUGGCAAAAUUUACAUGUAUGCAUUGAGUCUUGAUUUCAGCUCGAUUGUGGACUGAAGAAGAUUGCCCGCAGAGGGAUUGGAUACAAAAUACAAAGUAAGUACUGAGUUUCUUACUAAAAGUUUUGAGUUGUAUUCAUUGUAUGUUAAUAUGCUAUGAUUGCUAUGAACAUGACUUUUGUAUUUCAGCGAAGACAACAUAGGUAAGUAAAAUUGUUAUCUGUUUCAUGUUUACUGUUACAGUUCAAUAUUGUGUUUAUAAAUUGUAAGUUGUACAAACACAUUCAAAAGUUUCUAAUCAUGCUUUCGAUUUCAUUUCAGCUUUACUGCUAGACGAGUGUUCUCUACUACUUGACGAGUCAGCUUUACUACCAGGCGAGCAGUGACAACAAGGCGCCUUUGUGGAAACAACACAACAAAAAACUGUACUGCUAGACGAGCAGUGACAGAAAGGCGCCUGAACAUGCAACACAAAACAAAAAAUGCCAAUAUACAAACCUUGAUGUGAACACCGAGUAGUCAAUGCAUACGUGUGGCGUACAGCUGCGACAAAACCGUGGGUCCAUCGCACCGAUAACUCGAACAUUGGACCGCGUAUGGACAUCAGUGCAACUUUGUGAAUCCAUGUAACUUUGUGAAUCCAUGUAACAUUGCGAAUAUGUGUCGAUCGAAAAAUGUGUACAUUCUGCACUGAAACGAACUCGGUGUUGCAAGUGGCAAGUGUUGACAGUGUGUAUGUUUAUGUUUAUGUUUUUACAUGAAAACUAAAGGAGAUUGUUCUCCUACCUUUUUUUUCCUUGUUUUAUUGCGCUGGCCAGCAAUAUUGAUGUAUGUGUUUGUGUUUAAACUAUGCAAUACCAAAAUCAAACAAAAAUAAACAUUAACAGUCAUUAACUGUG